rnacentral:rRNA from 1 species
GAUGAACGCUGGCGGCGUGCCUAAUACAUGCAAGUCGAGCGAACGGACGAGAAGCUUGCUUCUCUGAUGUUAGCGGCGGACGGGUGAGUAACACGUGGAUAACCUACCUAUAAGACUGGGAUAACUUCGGGAAACCGGAGCUAAUACCGGAUAAUAUUUUGAACCGCAUGGUUCAAAAGUGAAGGACGGUCUUGCUGUCACUUAUAGAUGGAUCCGCGCUGCAUUAGCUAGUUGGUAAGGUAACGGCUUACCAAGGCAACGAUGCAUAGCCGACCUGAGAGGGAGAUCGGCCACCCUGGAACUGGGACACGGUCCAGACUCCUACGGGAGGCAGCAGUAGGGAAACUUCCGCAAUGGGCGAAAGCCUGACGGAGCAACGCCGCGUGAGUGAUGAAGGUCUUCGGAUCGGAAAACUCUGUUAUUAGGGAAGAACAUAUGUGUAAGUAACUGUGCACAUCUUGACGGUACCUAAUCAGAAAGCCACGGCUAACUACGUG